GUCCAUGCUGUAAACGAUGAAGACUGGCUGUUGGGUGCCCUUGGGCACUUAGUAGCGAAGCUAACGCGUUAAGUCUUCCGCCUGGGGAGUACGGCCGCAAGGUUAAAACUCAAAGGAAUUGACGGGGGCCCGCACAAGCGGUGGAACAUGUGGUUUAAUUCGACGCAACGCGAAGAACCUUACCUACCCUUGACAUGCUCGGAAUCUGCUAGAGAUAGUGGAGUGCCUUCGGGAACCGAGACACAGGUGCUGCAUGGCUGUCGU
rnacentral:rRNA from 1 species